rnacentral:rRNA from 1 species
AUUGAACGCUGGCGGCAGGCCUAACACAUGCAAGUCGAACGAGUGGCGGACGGGUGAGUAAUGUCUGGGCAACUGCCUGAUGGAGGGGGAUAACUACUGGAACCGGUAGCUAAUACCGCAUACCAUCGGAUGUGCCCAGAUGGGAUUAGCUAGUAGGUGGGGUAACGGCUCACCUAGGCGACGAUCCCUAGCUGGUCUGAGAGGAUGACCAGCCACACUGGAACUGAGACACGGUCCAGACGCCUACGGGAGGCAGCAGUGGGGAAUAUUGCACAAUGGGCGCAAGCCUGAUGCAGCCAUGCAGCGUGGAGGAAGAAGGCCUUAGGGUUGUAAAGUACGUGCAGCGGGGAGGCGUUACCCGCAGAAGAAGCCCCGGCUAACUCCGUGCCAGCAGCCGCGGUAAUAC